ACCGCUGUUUCAAGCCUCAAAGUUGUUGAUGUAUCAAGCAAUGAUUUGUGUGGAACAAUACCAGUAGAAGGACCUUUUGAACACAUUCCUAUGCAAAACUUUGAGAACAACCUGAGAUUGGAGGGACCAGAACUACUAGGUCUUGCAAGCUACGACACCAAUUGCACUUGAAA